UGCUUCGGAAUCCUCCUUUAGCACAAGUGGACGAAUAAUUGAUCCAUAUCGUAGUUCUUUGAGUCCAAAAAUGGUAGAGGCUUUGAUAUGUACACAAAAUUGGCUUAGGUCAAUUCAUGUAGCAUUACAUCAUGAGCCAACCAUUGAGGAGAUUGAGUUUUGUGAAGAAGUUGAGAAAGAAAUGGCAAGGGAAAGCUCAAAGAAAUGUGCUAUGUUGCCUCCUAGGCCGCCUAUGCGUUGAGCUUGAAGACUUGGAAGAUUUUAUUUGUACAAGACAUGAAGUGAUGAAACCUUGAAGGUUUAUUUGACUUGUGUGAUGUUUAAAUUUGGACUUUUUGAAGACUUAAACUUUGAUGUUUAAUUUGGACUUUUUGAAGACUUAAACUUGAUUGAUGAUUGAUUCUAUUUCUAGUUGGACUUUAAAUGUUUAUUUUCAUUUUUUGAA